rnacentral:rRNA from 1 species
GACGAAGGAUGCAAGCGUUAUCCGGAUUCAUUGGGUUUAAAGGGUGCGUAGGCGGACUUGUAAGUCAGUGGUGAAAUCUCUCAGCUUAACUGAGAAACUGCCAUUGAUACUGCAGGUCUAGAGUACAGAUGAUGUGGGCGGAAUAUGACAUGUAGUGGUGAAAUACUUAGAUAUGUCAUAGAACACCGAUUGCGAAGGCAGCUCACAAAACUGUGACUGACGCUGAGGCACGAAAGUGCGGGGAUCAAACAGG